rnacentral:rRNA from 1 species
UACGGGGGGGGCAAGCGUUAUUCAGUAUGACUGGGCGUAAAGGGUCUGUAGGCGGCAAGUUUAGUUGUUGGGGAAAUCUUAGGGUACAACCUUAAAAAACUGACAAAACGUACUUUGCUAGAGUAAUAAAGAGGAUAAUAGAACUUCUGGAGUAGGGAUAAAAUCCAGAGACAGCAGAAGGAAUUUCAUGGGCGAAAGCAAUUAUCUGGUUAUUACUGACGCUGAGAGACGAAGGCGUGGGUAGCAAAUGGG